rnacentral:rRNA from 1 species
GACGGAGGAUGCAAGUGUUAUCCGGAAUCACUGGGCGUAAAGCGUCUGUAGGUGGUUUUCAAAAGUCCACUGUUAAAGAUUUGAAGCUUUAACUUCAAAAAUGCCGUGGAAACUUUGAAACUUUGAGUAUGAUAGGGGUAGAGGGAAUUUCCAGUGGAGCGGUGAAAUGCGUAGAUAUUGGAAAGACCACCAAGGCGAAGGCACUCUACUGGGCCAUUUACUGACAUGAGAGACGAAAGCUAGGGGAGAACGGG